UACGUAGGGUGCAAGCGUUGUCCGGAAUUAUUGGGCGUAAAGAGCUCGUAGGCGGUCUGUCGCGUCGGCUGUGAAAUCCCGAGGCUCAACCUCGGGUCUGCAGUCGAUACGGGCAAACUGGAGUGUUGCAGGGGAGACUGGAAUUCCUGGUGUAGCGGUGAAAUGCGCAGAUAUCGGGAAGAACACCCGUGGCGAAGGCGGCUCUCUGGGACGGUACUGACGCUGAGACGCGAAAGCGUGGGGAGCGAACAGG
rnacentral:rRNA from 1 species